rnacentral:lncRNA from 1 species
GUGGAAGCUACAGGCAGGGCUGAGUCGGCGGCAAGGAGCAGGACCUCCUGUUAGAAAGUCCCAGAAAGAAACAAACCCUCGGGGACCACCCAGAAGGCCAGGAUCAUCCGAGGGGCCGCCCCGUGGGGUCUCCAUGGCUGCACGUGCAUCCUGAGGCCCAAGUCCUCCUCACAGUGGCUUCACUGGGUGCUGGGACUCUGCAGGGACCGAGCUGUUGGUGCUCCAGCAUUCAGGGAGCUCCUGCCUUGGGGUGGACAGACAGCAGUUCUGGAGGUUGGGAAGUCCAAAGUCGAGUGGCCGUAUCCGGUGAGAGCCCUCCUGCAGCAUCAUCCCAUGACGGAAGGUGUCCCAUGGUGAGAGAGCACGUAUACCAGCUCAGGUCUCCCUUCCUUUUCUCAUAAGGCCACAUCCCCCAUCGGGUCCCAUCCUGAUGUCCUCAUCUAAUCCUAGUUACCUCCCAAAGGCCCCACCUCCAAUCAACAUGUGACUAUGGGGAGUAAGUUUCCAGCCUAUGAAACUGGGGGACACAUUCAAACCACAGCACCAAGCAAGCUGGAGCAGCCAAGAGGAAGCCACAUGUUCCUGCAGGGCAGGGCAGCCUCCACCAUGCAGGGCUGGGACAGGCCAGUAGGAGAGGACCUUGUCCAUUUUCUCCAUGAAAAGUCAACAUUUAUCUCUCCAAGUACAAGUCACUUCCUAAUCUUGAGAUGUGUGGAAACAAGCUCUUUAUGCUGAAAAUCAACUUCUACAUUUUAGUUCUGAGAUGUGAUUCUGCCAGCCAUGGUGGACGAGGAGGAUGGUAGGGACUUAGCUAGAGUAGCACGUCCUCACUAGACAGGGGUGGGUGGUGUGGGGAGGUGGGGGGCUUGGCCUUAGCCUGAGUGUGACGUUCAGCCUGCAUCUUGAGCACAGUGAGAGCCUGAGCCACUGCACCACUGAAGAUGCUUAGAAGAGAGACCACAGCAGGCGAGGAGGCUUCCCAGGGGUCUGCGCUGACAAACCAGGGAUGAGGGUGGCCAGCUGUGCAUGAGCCCCCCAGCGCCCAUGCAGGCGUCCCCACCUUCACCACCUAAGUGUGGUCACGCACCCAGGGAGAGCUUUCAACCUGGCUCUCUCAAGUGUGUUUCUAAACACUAGAGCCAGGAAUCCUGUCCUGUGGGUCCCUGAAACAUAACCGGUGAGCCCAAGAUCUCCUCGGAGAAACAAGGCUCCCCUUAGGGAGGGCCCAGGAACGUGGGGGCCUCUGUGAGGCAGAGGGUCCCAGAGGGUAUGACCGUUUCUGCAGAAUGGUGGCCACUCUGCAGAAACAAAAUCACAGCCCAGGAAGAGCUGCCAAAGUGGGGGCCAGGGGAGCCGGAGAGGGGGACUGAGCCAGAUGCCUGCAGAGCCGUGGCUCACAGCCUCUAGGAGGUACGCCCAUGAAUGUUUCAGAACACAUUUGAGGACUGACGUAUGUGACCAACUUUUUCUUUUGUUAAGCAAGGAUUUUUAAUCACCAUUACUGGAUUAAAGAAAAAACAUUUUGGCUGGGUGCAGUGGCUCACACCUUUAAUCCUAGCACUUUGGGAGGCUGAGGCAGGCGGAUCACUUGAGGUCAGGAGUUUGAGACCAGCCUAAGCAACAUGGCGAAAUGCCAUCUCUACUAAAAAUACAAAAAUUAGCCAGGCCUGAUGACACGCACCUGUACACCUGUAGUCCCAGCUACCUGGGAGGCUGAGGCAUGAGAAUUGCUUGAACCUGGGGAGGCGGAGGUUGCAGUGAGAUGAGAUGGUGCCACUGCACUCCAGCCUGGGUGACAGAGUGAGACUCCAUCUCAAAAUAAAUAAAUAAAUGACAUUUUAAUACCACAAUUAGGAUAAUUUCAGAAUAAAAAUUUUUUUUCUUUAAAACUUUGUAGAAAAUCCCACACACCCAAUUUGGCCUUGUCUGGGAAAUGUGAGGAUUCCUGUCUCCUGGGACAGACAGUCUCACUGCCAGGCAUCCUCCCCCUGCAGUGAUUCACAUCCUACAAUGUCUGCCCUGAUGUGUCAAUUGUAGAGUAGGUCCCUCAUGGAGGCCCAGAGGCCCCAGCCCAGAGCCCGUCUGUCAGUCAUUGGCUGAGAGUGGUUGGGACAGGUGACCCCGCAGUUGAGGCGACCCCCCACGAUCUCUGGAAAAGGCAGCUGAGCCCCAGUUGCAGCAGGUUGGGGGAGAUGGUGCUGCCACAGCACAAAGGACCUAGCCCCAGUGGCACCCACCACUGUCAGAACUCUCCACUGAGGGCCAGGGUGGAUCUUUCCUCCCACAUCCAAGCGCAUCUGACAUCUUCACCUUGAAUCCUGAGUUUCUCUCUUAACUCUGUCUCACUUUGUCAUGAACAAACUCUUUCUUGAAAGUUGUAUUUCUCUGGGGCCAGAAAGGCGAGGAAAGAGGCGCUUUCUCCUGGGAGGUGGGCCUCGUGUGUCCCUGUCGUGGCUGAGAGUGACUGCCCCAGCACCUAUGAAGAAAGCCCAGAGACUCUGGAGGCUCAGCUGGGAUAACGCCUGGCGUGCUCGGGGGUCAUGGCCACCGCCUGGACUCUGGAAAAAUGGGAAAAAUGCUCUUGGCAGACAGCGGGGCAGUCAGGAGGGAGCUGGCCCCACCAGCCCAGGCAACGCCCAAGAGCUGUCCUCCCACUCGGCUCCAGGAGACGUUUAAAUGGGGCCUGACUCCCCCAUCUCUGAUUUAAAAGAUAACCAGAAGCAGCAGAGAAAACAUCUGAAGUGCUUCCUGGACACACCUGUUAGGAAGUUUCUGCAAGAACCCAGCCCCAGCCCCAGGAAGAGAACGGCAGCAGGAAAAGUUAGAGAGGAGAGGGAGCAGGAGGUGGAGAGCUCGGCCCCUCCUUCGCUGCUGCCCUCUGGGUGACGCUCAGCGGAGGCGCCACGUAGCAGCUGCGAGAGCCCCGAGACAACCUCUGCACUGUUUAUGGGAUCGCAUUAGGGGAGCAGCGGCCCUGCAUGACCCCACAGGGCUGCCCAGGUCAGGUGCUCAGAACACAAAAGAAAGUGAGACAAAGUCGCCACCCUGGAGUUUACGAGCUGGCGUGGGAGACAGGCUGGCACUGAGGAUGACAGUGGAGAGAGAUCGGGCUGGGAAGAACCGGAGGCGCUGGGGAAGCCGGGUCAGCAGGGAGACCCCAGCAGAGUGGGAGCCGGAGGACGGCGGCGACUGCAGCCCGACUGUUUCAGGUGGCGUCCUCGUCACGAGAGGAGCUUGAGCGGGUCGUGGCCUUCCUGGCAACCUGCCUACAGAGAAAACGAUUGCUGGGUGCAGAUGUCUCGAACAUUUAUUGCAUUCCACGUUGUCAGUCAAUAAAACAGCUUUGCGAGCGUAAUACUGACAAAAUCAAGUUCAGGCGGUAAGCCCCAGGGCUUCCAAGAAAAGUGGAUCGGGGGGCUUGCUCAGCUCUGGUAUCCAGGGGGGGCCACUGCCUGGUUCCCAGGCAAAGGAGUACAAACUGCCGGGAGAAACAAGGACCCUGCAGGAAGAAGGGACCUGCCCGACUUGUUCCCCCGCACCCACAUCAGGAAUUUUCCCAGAAAGCCAUCCACUUUGUUAGAGACAAAAUAAAGGUCAUUUGGAGAAAAACCUGCCAGCAGCUGCUGCUGCUUGAAAAUAGAAAAGAUUUUAAAAGUAGCAGUGUUGGGAGGCCAAGGCAGGCAGAUCACCUGAGGUCAGGAGUUCGAGACCAGCCUGGCCAACAUGGCGAAACCCCGUCUCUACUAAAAAUAGAAAAAUUAGCUGGGCAUGGUGGUGAGCACCUGUAAUCCCAGCUACUCGGGAGGCUGAGGCAGGAGAAUCACUUAAACCUGGGAGGCGAAGAUUGCAAUGAGCUGAGAUUGUGCCACUGCACUCCAGCCUGGGCAACAGAGCAGGACAUCGUCUCAAAAAAAAAAAAAAAAUGCAGCAGUGGUUUGAAAUCAUGCAUUUUUAUGUGUUAUCCUCAAACAUCUGAGGGAGAUAAGAAAGAAUAUACCACGGAUGAGAAUAUUUAUAAUUAUCAGAAAAAAAACUGCCUCCUAGGAACAAUCCUGUGAGCUCCAUCAUCAAAUCUGAUUCAGAAGCCUCCAAAUCCCCUACUUGCCCUGGCAGCUGCUACCCACCUCACAGCUGUCCUUUGCAGAUUACUACAAAUGUUCUCUUAAAUAUUCAUUUAUCCCCCAGCAUUGACAGGUCCUCCUUCCCACCAGACAUGAGGAUUUUAACUUGAUCAUCUCUGCAAAGACCUUAUCUUCAAAUACAGUUACAUUCUGAAGUCCUGGGGGUUAGGGCUGCAACACCCGAAUUGGUGGAGACAAAAUCCAGCUCCUGACAAUACCGCGUAUGAUAGCUGCGUCUCUGCCUGCAGUACUGUUUUCCAGGGAAAGCAUCUUUGAGUGUAUUCAGAAAGCCUCUCUCUGGGGCCAGGCCUUGCAGAGAAUCCUUCAGAAACUGGACAACCCCACCCAAGGCAGUCAGUGGGGAGGACACAUUUGGUGCCUCAUUGGUCCCUGGAUCUGCCUCACAGUCCUCAAUGUUCCUCCUCGUUCCCUCUACUCUUUCUCCUCUUUGGUUGACCUUGAAGCUCAUUCCUGGUGAAGGCCCCGUGGGAGCAGUGCAAUGACAAGAGGAGCCUGUUUUCAAUAGCACCCUCACGCUCUCCAGGGGUCCAUUGGAGGCGCCUAUGACCUCCUGAUGCUGAGGAGCCUAGAGUGGGCAGCCCUCGGGCCCAGGCUCCACCUGGGUGAGGCCUGUUUUAUUAUCAAUACUCACCACAGUCAUUUGUGGGAGUGUAAUGCUCAUAUUCCCAUUUAAGAGAUGAAUAAACUGAGGCAAGGUGAAGUGACUCAGCUGAGGCCACACCACAGUUUAAUGGGGAAGCCAGGAUAAGAGCUGGCGGCUUCUAUGUCUGAUCUACACUCUGAUGGGAGGUCGUCAGAGAGCCAUGUAAACGGUGAGGAGGUGACAUGCUGGUCCCUUCCAUAAAAGCUGUUUUGCAAAAUUAAAACACACACACAGUAAAGAUCCAGAUUUAUGCAAGUGAGAGUGAGGGGCUGACUAUUUACCAGUCAACAGAUCUCCCCAAAUGGUUCUCUGCUUGGGGUUGAGAUGCUCCUGACCAGCAGGGCUUGGGGAGAGACAUUCUUGCUCCCCCUAGAGCUGGCUGACCCAUACCCAGGGGAUUCUGAGCACCAGGGGCUGGGAGCAGCAUGUACCACGUGUUUCCCAAGAGUUAGUCAUGUUUGCUCCUAAAACUUAUUGUAAUCGAGGAAUCUAAUUAAACAAUACACCAACUGAAGAAACAGUGCAAAAAGAAUGAGUGACUGUUUCUAUGAAAACUUAGAUGAACUACUUUGGAAAGAUUCAAUAAAAAGCAUGCCUAAAUACAUAUACUGGGGCCAGGAGCAGUGAUUCACACUUGUAACCCCAGUGCUUUGGGAGGCUGAGGUGGGAGGGUGGCUUGAGGCUAGGAGUUUGAAACCAGCCUAGGCAACAUAGCAAGACCCUGUCUCUACAAAAAAACAAAAAUUUUUCAACUGGUUGUGGCAGCACCUGCCUAUGGUCCCAGCUGCUCUGGAAGCUGAGGUGAGAGGAUCACUCGAGCCCAGGAGUUCAGGCUGCAGUGAGCCGCAAGUGUGCCACUGCACUCCACCCUGGGCAACAGAGCAAGACCCUGUCUCUAAAAAAAUAAAUAAAAUAUGUACAUCCAGAUACAGUAUUAUGUGUGGGCGAGACACCGGUAAAAGAUGGAAACAAUCAUAAAAGUCAGGCAGGAUUCCACCUAAGAUUGUCUUUAGCUCUCAAUCUACCUUGUUUUAAAAUUUUUUUAUGAGCCAUAAAAGACCUAAGACUAGUCUUUAUUGUACAACUUGAUGAAUUCUGAUCCUGUGGCCAUACAGUUCAAAAUAGAGCAUUCUAGCACUCAGAAAGCUCCCUAGUGCCCUCAUCAGUUGGUGCCUGUCAACCCCAAGGAUGUCAUAGUCAUUUGGACACCCCUGGCACAGUCAUUCCACUUAGAGACUCUGCCAGAAGUCCCAGAUCAUAAUCAGGAGUGAAAUUUACACAAGAAGGGGCCGGAAGCCCUAGUGAGUAGUGAACUCAACUCCAAAAUAACCCUACACUAAAAAUAAAACUGGAACGUACUUUUUAUGUUUGAAAUUUAAAUAAGAUAGAUGUAUUUUUGUUAAAUCGUUCCAACCUGUACAACUUUUCUAUUCAUCAGCCAACUAGCCAGAGAAAGGGGGUUUCUGCUGCUGUCAGAGUAUAAAAAUGAGCUGCAAUUUUCAAAAUUUGACCUCAUCUAACUUUCUCCAGCUAUGCCAUUCCUGGAGCAUCCUCAGUCCAGUGCCUGAUGCGUAAAACAUAAUAAAAAGGUGACCCCACCACACCAAACACUGGGGUGUCUGUAGCAGUGACCGCGUCUCACGGGGAUUUUGUCUGAAUGCCUGUUCCUCCACUCGCCUAAUCCAUGGAGGUCAGGGAACCACGCAC